rnacentral:rRNA from 1 species
UACGAGGGGGGCGAGCGUUGUUCGGAAUUAUUGGGCGUAAAGGGUGCGUAGGCGGUCGGGUAAGUCUGAUGUGAAAUCUCCAAGCCUAACUUGGAAACUGCAUUGGAUACUAUCCGGCUCGAGGUAUGGAGGGGAGACUGGAAUACUUGGUGUAGCAGUGAAAUGCGUAGAUAUCAAGUGGAACACCAGUGGCGAAGGCGAGUCUCUGGACAUUUCCUGACGCUGAGGCACGAAAGCCAGGGGAGCAAACGGG